AGAGCAACUGCAGGCUCUGUGCCUUCAGUGAUCCAACAGUGACCAACAGUGACCAACAGUGACCAACACAGACCAACUGCAGGCUCUGUGCCAUCAGUGAUCCAACAGUGAUCCAACAGUGCCUCCAGCAGUGAUCCAACAGUGACCAACACCAAGCACCGCAGGCUCUGUGCCAUCCGUGAUCCAACAGUGCCUCCUGCUGACAACACAGAGCAAGUGCAGGCUCUGUGCCUUCAGUGAUCCAACAGCACCUCCUGCUGACAGGACAGAGCAGCUGCAGGCUCUGCCCCUCCAGAGCCCAACGGCGCCCUCUGCCAAAAAUUAUUGGAAUUGCACCCGAGGACGGGAAGUACCGAAUUGUUUCCUUUUUGAAGGGGACUUUUGGGGCCGGGAUUAUUGUUUAAUUGGGUUUUUUGUGUUCUUUUGUUGUUCUGCCAAUACACAUAUGCCCUUUAGUAAAGGGUUGUUAUUUUUUUCUUUUUUCCAUACUUCCCCGAUUGGAGCCUCUCAAUUUGGGAUUUACAAUUGCUGAGAGAGAGGAGUUUAUUUAUCAAAAGCACAGAAAGAGGAAUUAUUAAUCUGCGGGCUGUAGAAACAGGACCGAGAGUUUCACAGGUGUUCAGGCCCCCCUGGAAGUUAACAGGCCUUAAUUGAGAUCAGCUGUGAGGGUGACUCAGGGACUUUUCUAACAGUUUUUCAGUCUAAAGUGGUUCUCUGUGGGGUGAGGUCCUCAGAACUGGCUCUGCUGAGUUGGACAAGCUUCCCCAUUGCACUGGAUAUUAAAUUUGCUGGAUAGCAACAGUUCUGGAGUUCCUGCAACUGCUCUUCUGGACUUGGCUGGAGAAACUUCAAACUGACAAGGCUUGAAAAUGUGAGAAAAAAAGAUGAUGUCGGCGUGGCAGCUCUGGGAGGUGGGCCCUGGGAAUGGCUGCCCGUGCUGGUCCACAAACACAAGGUGCCUGCAUUCCCAAGUGCCAGCAGCGUCAGCAUAAAAGAGGAGAUUCAUUUUCCGGGAAUUACAUCGCUGGCCCUCAGAAGGGGUUUGGGGUGUUUUGGGCAGCAUCAGCGCGGGGCUCAGUUCUGAACUGGGGCAAACCCUGUCCACGCUGCGGGUGCCGUCCUGGGCCCAGGCCAGAGGGGCUGCGGUUGCCAGCUGCUCCCCGUGUCCGUGCCGAGCCAGCGUCCCAGGGGCACAACAGGCGGCGCCGACACUUCCGAGGGAAGAGUUUUCUCUCUGUGGGAAGCCGGGAUUUCGAGGAGCGAGAGACGUUCCUUUCCAGCGUGGUUCACCUCCCGCCCUCCCCGAGCACGGCGCGUGCGACUGCAAGGAAGGAUUCAUUUCUGCCCGUCCCCAGCCGGUCCCAGCCCAGCUGGCCGUGCUCCCUGCGGCCCGUUGGGGCAGAGGAGGGAGAGCUGCGGAGAUUUAUUAAGAGGGGAUUUCCUGACAGUAGUUGUCUGCAGUCUUGCCCUCCUUUGACUCACCUGGCGGCGUCCGGUUUUCUUAUUUCCUCUUGUGUAGCUGUUUGCAUCAUAGGCAGGACCUGCCUCCUCUGGAAAUAAAGAUUAAAUAUUUUAA